CGGACCGGCGCACGGGUGAGUAACACGUAUCCAACCUGCCGAUGACUCGGGGAUAGCCUUUCGAAAGAAAGAUUAAUACCCGAUGGCAUAGUUCUUCCGCAUGGUAGAACUAUUAAAGAAUUUCGGUCAUCGAUGGGGAUGCGUUCCAUUAGCUUGUUGGCGGGGUAACGGCCCACCAAGGCAUCGAUGGAUAGGGGUUCUGAGAGGAAGGUCCCCCACACUGAUACUGAGACACGGACCAGACUCCUACGGGAGGCAGCAG
rnacentral:rRNA from 1 species